rnacentral:rRNA from 1 species
UACGGGGGGGGCAAGCGUUGUUCGGAAUUACUGGGCGUAAAGGGCUCGUAGGUGGCCAACUAAGUCAGACGUGAAAUCCCUCAGCUUAACUGGGGAACUGCGUCUGAUACUGGAUGGCUUGAGUUCGGGAGAGGGAUGCGGAAUUCCAGGUGUAGCGGUGAAAUGCGUAGAUAUCUGGAGGAACACCGGUGGCGAAGGCGGCAUCCUGGACCGACACUGACGCUGAGGAGCGAAAGCCAGGGGAGCAAACGGG